rnacentral:rRNA from 1 species
GACGAACGCUGGCGGCGUGCUUAACACAUGCAAGUCGAACGGUGAAGGGACUGGUUUUGCUGGUCCUGGAUGAGUGGCGAACGGGUGAGUAACACGUGAGUAACCUGCCCCCUUCUUCUGGAUAACCGCAUGAAAGUGUGGCUAAUACGGGAUAUUCUGGGUCUGUCGCAUGGUGGGCCUGGGAAAGAUUGCGCCUUUUUUGGUGUUUUUGGUGGGGGAUGGGCUCGCGGCCUAUCAGCUUGUUGGUGGGGUGAUGGCCUACCAAGGCGGUGACGGGUAGCCAGCCUGAGAGGGUGGACGGUCACGCUGGGACUGAGACACGGCCCAGACUCCUACGGGAGGCAGCAGUGGGGAAUAUUGCACAAUGGGCGCAAGCCUGAUGCAGCGACGCCGCGUGAGGGAUGGAGGCCUUCGGGUUGUGAACCUCUUUCGCCAGUGAAGCAGGCCUGCCUCUUUUUGUGGGUGGGUUGACGGUAGCUGGAGAAGAAGCGCCGGCUAACUACGUG